GGGGAUGCGGGUGUUGGCUGGGGCUUGUCCCUCCCCAGGACAGCUCAUGAGCUCUGAACAUGCUGUUCACUUCCACUGGAUGGGAUAGUGAAAGGGCUGGAUGGCCACAGUGCCUGGUGGGGACGGACAGACUGGACGCAGGGACAGUCCAGCCGGCGGCUUGCCCAGCGCCAGCCCUGCAGCUGCACAGCAGCUACAAUGGACUGAGGGGCAUUGAUGGGCACACAGUGGCCCCUGAUAACGCGCUAAUGGCGCUCCACGUUUUUUUCGUCCAGAAGAAUUGUGUAAGUGUGAAGACCAGCGGGGAGAUGGAGGCCACUUGAUGAAGCGCCUCGAGCCACCCCUUAAAGGAACAAGGCGCGUUUCUCCCGAGGCUCCGACAGCUGGCUCCUUCAGCUCCAAGCAGAGUUAUUGAGAUGCAAAUGUGUGUCCUCCGCAGAGCGCAGCUGCUGGCUGGCGCCGGAGCCCUGCGCCCAGGUGCAGCCCCGCGGAGCCAGCGGGGGUGGCGACUCGGACGAGUCUCCCGGGAAGAACGGAACCAUGGACCCUGCGCGGCAGGAAGGCAGGUCCACAGUCUGUCCAGCCCUGAGGAACCAGGCCGAGGCCCCCACCAGCAUGGAGUCCCACAGAGGCAGGAGAGGUGGCCCCGAGGGGCGUGGGUUGUGCAGGUGUCAGCACCAGGAGCUACCAGUGCAGAGGCUCUGGGGCCCGACUCAGCUGGUGAGUGUGUGGGAUGGGGAGGAUGCUGGGGAGCGGGCUGGGUGAUGGGCAGGGACCCCAGGCUCACACUCAGUGAGACGGAGGCCACGGAGGCUUUGGGUGGAGGGAUGCUGCCUGGCUGUCCUCAGCAGGAGGGUGUGGUCUCAGGACAGGUCCCAAGGGUGGGGCCAGUGCUGUUUCUGACAGAUGGAUGGGCCCUGGGGGACCCAAGCCUCUGUAGGGGUGAGGGGCUGCAAGAGGAACACAUCUGAUGGGGUCCUGGUUUGUCAGAGGGCCACAUGCCCACCCAGGCCUAGAGUCACCUAGGAUGUCCCCCUGGGUGAGAGGAUGCUGUCUUGUUCCCAGGAGGGGUGGGACUGCCUGGUUCCUGGGGUGCCUCUGAGCCAAGGGAGCCCGUGAAUGGGCUCAGGGACUCCUGUGUCACUCAGGCCACAGGCUCCAGCCUUGCCCCUGCUGAACCCAAAGCGGUAAGCACUGCCUGUGUGUCUUGUGGUGGAGUGGGUCCCAGGAGCCUUGGGAGGGGACAGUUGGACAGAGGCUCAGAGAGGAGCCCACACCAGGGGGUGCUGAGUCCUGGGGGCCUCCCCUCCCAAGCCCUGGGUGGCAGUGAGCCCAGAACAUGGCAGAAAGGGGACCCACCAUGGAUCCUGGCAGGGAGCCACCUGUGGUUCUGGGGUUGGAGGGCCACCCAAGCCAAGGCGCAGCAUCUCCUCAGGCCUCCUGCCCACCCUGGGCCCCACAGGGGCACCCGUGGUGCUCCCACCAUUGGCAGGGCCCCCAAGACAGCCCCCUGGGAAGGGCUGCCCAGGCACAGCAGCUCCACUCGGCUGCCGUGGGCAGACUUGCUGGCUCCAGGCUCCUCAUGUGAGGCCCCGUUUGUCCUGUGACAGACACAGGGCGCCUGUUUGCCUGUGAGCAGGAACACGGCCUCUCUGUUGGCACCUGGGCCGACCGGCCCCCCAGGCAGGUGUGGGUGCUCCACACAGACCUACACUUGUGCCCACCUCGGGCUGGCCUCCUGGCCUGAACCACCUCGUUCUCGCCGGGACCCUCUGCAGUGCAGCAGGCGCCCCAGACGGCCAGGGGUGGGUGAGAGUCUGUCUCCUUGCAGCUGCUGCCAGGCCGUAGAGGUUCAGGCUGCACCCCAGUUCUUCCUGCAGCAGGCCCAGGAGGGCCACCCAGCAAAACAUUAAUCCAGCUCAACCUGUGGCAACUGGGCUCAGAACCGCUGCCCUGGGGACUCCUGGGCCCCCAUGGUCCAAGCUGGAGGUGAGGGCUCUGCUGUCCCAUCCCCUCUAAUGCACAUCAGGAAGCAGGAGGCUCCAGGUGUGAGACUGGGGGAUGUGGUCACAAAGGAGAGGAGGACGUGCCUUGCUCAGGGCCCAUGGAGGCGGCUGCCCAAGGAGGACAGAGAACUUCUGUCCAUGCUUCUGGUCAUGGGUUCUGAGGAGGGAGGCAGAGAACACUGGCUUUUCCGUCACACAGGCCCCUCCUGGAUGUUGUGGGGCCCCCAGGAGAGCAGAAGAGAGGCAGACAGGGUUUCCUCUUGGCUACACCAGGUACACAAUGGGGCUCAGCCACGGACCUGCCCCAUAGAUGCCCAGGAUCCCAGGUGGGUGCUGGUGGGCACAGCCAUGGAGGGGGGACCACGCGGGCAGGUGGUCCUGGGACAGACCAGGGCUGGGAGCAACAUCAGGACACUGCUGUCUAGGGGGCCUGGUGACAAGGGCAGGCACCUAGGAUGUGGAAGGGCUGGGGGCUUUCUGUGGUUCUCGCUGAUGAACCCAGAGUGAAGGGACUUGGGAACCACGGGGACUGACUGUGGCGAGACAGGAAGCACAGACGCCUUCUUACCGAGUCUGCUUCCCCGGACAUCCUUGUGAAGACCCCACUCAGCAGCGGCCCACGGUCUUGCCAUUUUAUUUCUUGGG
ensembl:lncRNA